rnacentral:lncRNA from 1 species
GGGCCCCUAAUUCCUAAACUGUUGGGCCCAAAACUCCCAAAAUCAAUCCCAACCUUCCUUUUAUGGUCAUAAACCUUGUGUUUAAAUUUCAUAGAUUUCUAUUUAUUUAUACUAAAGUUAUGGUGCGAAAACCAAGAAAAAUGCUUAUUUGGGCCCCUUUUUGGCCCUCUAAUUCCUAAGCUGUUGGGACCAAAACUCCCAAAAUCAAUCCCAACCUUCCUUUUGUGUUCAUAAACCUUGUUUUUAAAUUUC